GGCACUUUCGGAGAUGGCAUUCCUCCCGUAACCGCACCGCUUCCCGGCGGCGCUGAUGAUGCCUACGAGUUC
rfam:Paraburkholderia tropica strain P-31 P31_contig_7, whole genome shotgun sequence.